UGGGGAAUAUUGGACAAUGGGCCACAAGCCUGAUCCAGCAAUUCUGUGUGCACGAUGAAGGUCUUCGGAUUGUAAAGUGCUUUCAGUUGGGAAGAAGAAAGUGACGGUACCAACAGAAGAAGCGACGGCUAAAUACGUGCCAGCAGCCGCGGUAAUACGUAUGUCGCAAGCGUUAUCCGGAUUUAUUGGGCGUAAAGCGCGUCUAGGCGGAAAAAUAAGUCUGAUGUUAAAAUGCGGGGCUCAACUCCGUAUUGCGUUGGAAACUGUUUUUCUAGAGUACUGGAGAGGUGGGCGGAACUACAAGUGUAGAGGUGAAAUUCGUAGAUAUUUGUAGGAAUGCCGAUGGAGAAGUCAGCUCACUGGACAGAUACUGACGCUAAAGCGCGAAAGCGUGGGGAGCAAACA
rnacentral:rRNA from 2 species